AGAGUUUGAUCCUGGCUCAGGACGAACGCUGGCGGCGUGCCUAAUACAUGCAAGUCGAGCGAAGUUUUUCUGGUGCUUGCACUAGAAAAACUUAGCGGCGAACGGGUGAGUAACACGUAAAGAACCUGCCUUAUAGACUGGGACAACUAUUGGAAACGAUAGCUAAUACCGGAUAACAGCAUUAACUGCAUGGUUGAUGUUUAAAAGUUGGUUUUGCUAACACUAUGAGAUGGCUUUGCGGUGCAUUAGCUAGUUGGUGGGGUAAAGGCCUACCAAGGCGACGAUGCAUAGCCGACCUGAGAGGGUGAUCGGCCACACUGGGACUGAGACACGGCCCAGACUCCUACGGGAGGCAGCAGUAGGGAAUCUUCCGCAAUGGGCGAAAGCCUGACGGAGCAACGCCGCGUGAGUGAAGAAGGAUUUCGGUUCGUAAAGCUCUGUUGUUAGGGAAGAAUGAUUGUGUAGUAACUAUACACAGUAGAGACGGUACCUAACCAGAAAGCCACGGCUAACUACGUGCCAGCAGCCGCGGUAAUACGUAGGUGGCAAGCGUUGUCCGGAAUUAUUGGGCGUAAAGCGCGCGCAGGUGGUUUAAUAAGUCUGAUGUGAAAGCCCACGGCUCAACCGUGGAGGGUCAUUGGAAACUGUUAAACUUGAGUGCAGGAGAGAAAAGUGGAAUUCCUAGUGUAGCGGUGAAAUGCGUAGAGAUUAGGAGGAACACCAGUGGCGAAGGCGGCUUUUUGGCCUGUAACUGACACUGAGGCGCGAAAGCGUGGGGAGCAAACCAGGAUUAGAUACCCUGGUAGUCCACGCCGUAAACGAU
rnacentral:rRNA from 1 species